rnacentral:ncRNA from 1 species
UACCGCUGGGGGCGCCGAAAGGCUGAGAAUUGUACCCUUCGAACCUGAUAUUGUUAAUACAUUCGUAGGGAAGCGGAUCUUA